GGGGGCGUAGCUCAGAUGGUAGAGCGCUCGCUUAGCAUGCGAGAGGUACCGAUCGAUACCCGGCGCCUCCA
rnacentral:tRNA from 1 species